AAAUUUCACUUUUGGCAGUUUUCACACACAACCCCCCCCCCCCAACUCUGGAAAACCAGAAAACCUGGAUUAUCCAAAAAUAAGUUGAAAAACAAUACUGAACUACCAGGAAGCAAUAACUUGAGAAGCCACUGUUCCAGGCAAAAAAGUCCAGAAAGAUGCCUUUGGAGCAGGUGCUUUCUUGGCUGGAGCUUUUUGACCCUUCUCAAUUUUGGAGCAGGCACUGCCUUCUGGCCUGUGGCUUUCUGGGCAGGAGCCUUCUUGCCUGCGGUGGUCUCUUUUUGCUGGGACUUUAGCAGCAGCUGCAGCAGCAGCCUUAGCAGCAGGUGCUUUUUUGGGAGAAGCUUUCAAGAGAGCUGCCUUUUGAAGCUUCUUAACUUCAUUCUUGAUUAUUCUGUUCCUCAUUUUCUUUGCCUUCAUAACUUUCAAAUGAUCAAAAUCUGUCAUCUUGGCUUUCCUUUCUCUGGCUUCAAUCUUCUUGGCCCAUCGAGUGGCUGCCCAUUUCAUAUUGAUAUCUGCCUUCUGCCAGGCUUGCCGGACAUACUUCUGGCGGGCACUGUGUGGAAACUUGAGGAUGAAAUCAGUGAGCUGCAUGCACUUGAAAGGCAUGGCCUGUCUCCUCACCUGAGUGCAAGGUCCAUCAACCAAAGCCCUGUUUUGAUCAAUAACAUCUACAAUCGCCACCUAUUUUCCAGCAUGAGGUCCAAAGAAGACGUAGGCCACCCGGCCAACCUUCACGAAGCACCUGAACACCAUAUUGACAGCGUUAGGCGAGAAGCAGAUGCAAUUAGUUGCCAUGAGAUGAGAGUACCAGGGUGGCUUCUAUUCCAAAAUGACUGGUGCCCUUAGGAAAAGGGGACAGUUGGACAUGGACAUAAACACAGAGAGAACGCAGAUGCCUUGCACAGCCCUUAGAAGUACUCAAGCCUGUACACACCUCGCCUUUGGGCUUCCAGCCUCCAGAUCUAAGACAGAUGUCUCAGCCACUCAGUUCAUGGUACUGUGCUACAGUGGUACUAGGAAACUAACACAGAUUGGAAAGGGAAUGAUGAUCAAAGGAACUCUGAAGACAUUACUAGUUUUUCUUUUUGCCUUCCCCACGCAGAGCUGCCGUAAGCUGCAUUUUAAACCUGAGAGCCUGUGAGUAUACACAGAGGCAUCCACAGAAAGCCUGUUUCGGGUGUGAACAGCUGGGAGCUGGCCUGUACUUCUUCAUUUCUGUGCUUUUGGGUCUACAGACUGAUUUCUGUCAUACCAAAGCCAUUUUCACAACGUUCACAAGAAUUUUGGACAGAAAUACAGUUAUAAUUGCGCAUUAAUCAGGCUGCUCUUUGACCCACUACCUUGUAACUAAAAGUCACGUAGCCCCAGAUACUGAUCAUCACCGGCUACUGACCACUCGCUAGAAACCCACCACUUGCAAGAUACCGACCACGCGCACCCCCAUUGUUCCCAUAGAUAGCAUCUCUGAUGUUAGAAUCAGAAGGCUUUUGUUUGAGAAUUGCUUAAGUAGAUCCUGAAUUCUUGUUUGAAGAGCCCCACAGAGGAACUGAACUGGCAUGAGAAUACAACGCCUUCCUCUUUCCGCACCACAACUUCACCUGUACUUUUUGACCAAUCAACAAUCUCCACACUUCAUGCUAUUCAAACCCUUAAAAAUCCUCGUACGGAAAUACUGACACCCCCACUGUCUCCUCUUUCAAUGGCCCUACAAUUAAACCCCUUUCGCUGCUGCAACUCAGUGUCUCGGUGCAUUGACUUGCCACGUGUCAGGCAAUGGAUCUAUUACAGCCCCAAUAUGAAGAGGCAUUCUUCAGACCUCCAGACACUGGCGGGAGGUGUAAAUCAG
rnacentral:lncRNA from 13 species